AAAGCCUCUAAGCAUCAGGUAACAUCAAAUCGUACCCCAAACCGACACAGGUGGUCAGGUAGAGAAUACCAAGGCGCUUGAGAGAACUCGGGUGAAGGAACUAGGCAAAAUGGUGCCGUAACUUCGGGAGAAGGCACGCUGAUAUGUAGGUGAAGCGACUUGCUCGUGGAGCUGAAAUCAGUCGAAGAUACCAGCUGGCUGCAACUGUUUAUUAAAAACACAGCACUGUGCAAACACGAAAGUGGACGUAUACGGUGUGACGCCUGCCCGGUGCCGGAAGGUUAAUUGAUGGGGUUAGCGGCAACGCGAAGCUCUUGAUCGAAGCCCCGGUAAACGGCGGCCGUAACUAUAACGGUCCUAAGGUAGCGAAAUUCCUUGUCGGGUAAGUUCCGACCUGCACGAAUGGCGUAAUGAUGGCCAGGCUGUCUCCACCCGAGACUCAGUGAAAUUGAACUCGCUGUGAAGAUGCAGUGUACCCGCGGCAAGACGGAAAGACCCCGUGAACCUUUACUAUAGCUUGACACUGAACAUUGAGCCUUGAUGUGUAGGAUAGGUGGGAGGCUUUGAAGUGUGGACGCCAGUCUGCAUGGAGCCGACCUUGAAAUACCACCCUUUAAUGUUUGAUGUUCUAACGUUGGCCCGUAAUCCGGGUUGCGGACAGUGUCUGGUGGGUAGUUUGACUGGGGCGGUCUCCUCCUAAAGAGUAACGGAGGAGCACGAAGGUUGGCUAAUCCUGGUCGGACAUCAGGAGGUUAGUGCAAUGGCAUAAGCCAGCUUGACUGCGAGCGUGACGGCGCGAGCAGGUGCGAAAGCAGGUCAUAGUGAUCCGGUGGUUCUGAAUGGAAGGGCCAUCGCUCAACGGAUAAAAGGUACUCCGGGGAUAACAGGCUGAUACCGCCCAAGAGUUCAUAUCGACGGCGGUGUUUGGCACCUCGAUGUCGGCUCAUCACAUCCUGGGGCUGAAGUAGGUCCCAAGGGUAUGGCUGUUCGCCAUUUAAAGUGGUACGCGAGCUGGGUUUAGAACGUCGUGAGACAGUUCGGUCCCUAUCUGCCGUGGGCGCUGGAGAACUGAGGGGGGCUGCUCCUAGUACGAGAGGACCGGAGUGGACGCAUCACUGGUGUUCGGGUUGUCAUGCCAAUGGCACUGCCCGGUAGCUAAAUGCGGAAGAGAUAAGUGCUGAAAGCAUCUAAGCACGAAACUUGCCCCGAGAUGAGUUCUCCCUGAGACUUAGAGUCUCCUGAAGGAACGUUGAAGACGACGACGUUGAUAGGCCGGGUGUGUAAGCGCAGCGAUGCGUUGAGCUAACCGGUACUAAUGAACCGUGAGGCUUAACCUU
rnacentral:rRNA from 1 species